UGUAUUGCACACAAACAGCCAGCCAGGGCAGGCCUCGGUUUAAUAAUCUACCCCUUACUAUCAUGUGACACGAGAGUCAGAAUCAAAUAGAGAGCUAUGGCUGCAGGGAAUGGAAAACUCAGUGCAAACAGAGGUGUCUCAUGUUCCCAACACCGAUGGUUCAUUCCCCCAUCUCCCACUGCAUCGGCUGCUUUUCAUUGAAGUUGUGACAACUGUCAUCCUAACUCAUUCCUUCGGAAAAGGCUACUGAGAAGGUGCCACCCUGGAGAUGCUGCUCAGGAGAAUAACCCUGCUGGCGACUGCUUUCACCUUCUGCCCCUGAAAGGGCCUGACUGUGGGGGUCUGAGCUACUCUACGAACAUCCUCAUAUCCGAGGGAAUGCAACAUUGAGUAGCAAAUAACAAACACCACGACAGGUCAAGAGAGAGACUGCAGAAAGAAAGCAAAAGCUUUCUUAUUUUAGCACCUAUAAUGACAUUUUGUUCCUGCUUUUGAGCAUGUGGCCUAUAUUUUCAUUUUGCACAGGCUCUGAAAAUUAUGUACUUGGAUCUUCAGGGAGAAUGUAAUAAAUCUACUAAGAGUCACCCUCAUCCGCUCUGUCCUGCUCUCCUGUGUCUCUCAGAGUCAGCAGAGGGCCUUGUCAGAGCAGAGUCCUCCCGCAGUCUUCCCCAUCUCUGUAAAUGGCGGCUCCACCCUCCCAGCUCUCAGGCCAACACCUGGGAGUCAUUCUCCACUCUUCCCUGCCUUCCACACUCCGCUUCUCAUCCACCAGCAAGUCCUGGCAGCUCUACCGGCAAGAGAUCUGCAGUACUGGACUCCCUCACCUCCUCCACUUUGACGGCAUGGCUCCGGUCACCAUCACCUCCACCUGGCCUCCCUGUUGGUCUUGCUGCUCCAGCUGUUGCCCCACAUCCCCAACCUGUCCUCAGAGAAUCCCAUUACAAAGGAAGCCAGACCACGUCCUGUCUCCCCUCGAGCCCUCCAAUGGCUCCCACUUCCCUGAGGGUAAAAGCUGAAGUCUUCACAGGGUCACCUAAGGCCUGAGAUGACCCGUCUCUCUCUCUGCCCCACUGUGACCCAUCACCCCUCUGGCCUCAUCUUCUAACACCCCCUGGCCCCAGCCACACAGGGCUCCUGGCUGCUUCUCAGCCUCAUCCCUCCCCUCGCGUCUCUGGACUCUGUCCUCGCUGUCCCCUCUCCUGCAUCGCUCUGCCCCCAGGCCCCAGGCAGCUCCCACACCUCCUUCCAGGGCCCAGAGUUUGCACCAGAUGCACACGUUUUCUGCACAUUUGAACAAAUGAACAAAAGAAGGAAUGAGAACAUCCAUCCUCCGCGGGGAAUACUGCUCCCAAGGGGGCCAGCGCUGGUUCCCGGAGGUGAAAAGAUUUUUCUCUCAUUAUGUAAAAAUACAGAUGUAUGCACAGUGCAUAAACCAUUUUGCAGUA